UACGUAGGUGUCAAGCGUUGUCCGGAUUUAUUGGGCGUAAAGCGCCCGCAGGCGGCUUGCCAAGUUCGAUGUGAAAUCUCCCGGCUCAACUGGGAGGGUGCAUCGAAAACUGGCAGGCUUGAGGCAGGGAGAGGGAUGUGGAAUUCCAGGUGUAGUGGUGAAAUGCGUAGAUAUCAGGAGGAACACCGGUGGCGAAGGCGGGUCUCUGGGCAACAACUGACGCUGAGGAGCGAAAGCGUGGGGAGCGAACAGG
rnacentral:rRNA from 1 species